CAUCCUGACAGCACUCCCUGCGCCUCACCUUCCCAGCCUAUCCGAUGCCGCGAUAAUUCCCAGCUUUUGGCAUGUUGAUUGAACCUGCGCGCUGUGUAGCAUACUAGCAUAAACGAUGCCAGAUAUGUCUCUCUAUACGUUACAGUCUCUCAUGUGUCUAUGGACCAUGUUAAUUGCCGUGAACGGUCAACUGGGGGAAUCUAGACUUAGCGAAAGACCGUAUGUGGUGCUACAGAAUCAAAACCUGGUGCUGUUGGUGAGCGUGUUCAGCGUCCUACUGGUCGUGAUGAUCGUAAUGGCGGUAUGCGUUUACAAACCUGUGCGUCGACGGUGAAACUGCCCUGCGUCCGUCUCUGGGAACAUCAUUCAUUUGGCGACGGGGGGAGGGGGCAAUCGCAAGUGAACCAUGCAACCCCACUCUUUUGAGCUGGCUAUUUUCUCUCACUAUUGGGAUAUGUGGGAAGUCGGCCAGCCCAGUGGUGUAAAUUGUGAAUGGACGGUAGCAAAGCUGCAUUCAAAUAGUUUGCCUUUAAGCCAUAUGAAAUCAAAGAUGGGGAAUGGGUUAUUAAAGUGUCAUCCAUGGGCUCUGCUCAGCUUGCCUUGCCUGAAGAUUGUUUUUGCAAUCAUUUUUAUUGUUCCCCUUUUCAAUUGCACUGACAGCAAAAUAUUGAGUUGAUUAAAGUUGUAGCGCAUUAUUUGAUACAGGUUCAUAGGGUACAAGCCCUACAUGUUUUAGUUUGCUUUUACCACCUUAGAUCACUUUCUACUGUUGUUUUCACUUUUAUAUAUAAAUUUGUGCACUAUAUUUUUCGAUGAGAACGUAUAUUAUUUAUCACACUUAUUUGGUAUUUAUUGUUAUUACAGCUUGUUUCUGAAUAGAUUGCUGUUGUGGAAUAAAUCUGACAUGUUCUAUGA